CUGUGAUCGUCCCGCAUUCGGCAUCAUUGCAUGUGUUUCGUCAGCCAUGGAGAACUCCGGGAGGGGCGUCUAUGAGACACCCCCAUGUGGUCUGCAGUGAGAAGGGAUCCACAGUGCCGUGUGGGUGCGACGUUAUUGGGAGAAGAAGACCAGACGGAGAGUGGGUAAGGCACAAAGCUCUCAUUGGCUGACGGUCAGAACGAGGUCACCAGCCUCCCCUGCUAAUCCGUCCUUGCCCGGAAGCCCUGCUGAAACCCGAGACCAGCGGUGACAUCAGAAGAGAAACCGGGCGCAGUGCCAUCAGACAGUGCCCGCGAGGAGCAUUGGGGUCAGAGAUCUUAUCCAAACCAGUAUGCCCAGAUUUGGUUCACAGAUGGGGAGGGACUGGGGAUUCCAAUGCUGCCGGGCUGAAGACCCCCCAGAGCGAUAGUGUCCGUCGGCUAGAAGACUGACCACCCAGCACCCUCACUGAGGCCAUCCCCAUGGCCACUGCUCAGUCCAGGCCCUCCAUGCCGCUCUCUGGACAGCUGUGUCUUGGUGCACUCCACUCACCUGUUCUGCAGGGACGUCCAUAAUGCCCGAAGGGAGGAGCGAAUGGAACUGGGCGUCCACUGGGUCUCCAGCCCCUGCCCCAGCAGAGGCCAGCAUUGCCAUCCUUCCUGAUGGGUCUCAUUCUCGGACGGUGACUGUAGGUUUCACUGUAAUUCACAGCCACGUGGUCCCCCUGGCCAGCCGGGCAGCGCCGCCACAUGUGCUGAGACCUGACCUUGCUCCGGCUCCUUGGCCUGUCCUCCUAGAAAGGACCCAGGCAUCUUUGCUGCCAAGGCAUUGGGUCCAGCCUGGCCACAGCCAGUAAAUAGUACCGUGUUCUCUCAGCAGCCGGCUCAGUCAGCCCCACGUCGGGACUGGGGAGCUGUACAAACAAGAUUGCAGAUCUCGGGUGGAGAGGGCUCCCAGCCGAGGAGCCCGGCGGGCGGCCCGUGGCGCUGGGUCAUCAUGUCUGAGCCGACUGCCCAUUUUGUCCCAGCACAAAAAGUGUUCAGAGCGGAGCCUCACGGAACACAGUGCCCUCUGUUCUCGGCCAGCCUGGGCAGAGAGCUCUUUGUGAGCCUGAAUAACUCCCCUUGGGAACUGGGCAGCAGGCUGCCCAGCCUGGGAACAGAUGGUGGCUGGAUUUAACCCCUGACCUUCUGCGGGCAUCGCCGUUGCCCUACAUCAACUCCCGAGUGCCCUCCUGCGGGAUGAGGGACAAGAGCAAGCUAACAGGUGCGUGCCACCCCCCACCCCUUCCCACCUGCAGCCACCUGCAGGACAGAGCAGGUUUGCCACUCCACAGAGCUUCCAAGGCGGCAGGUCUUUGCAGAUCAGACGAUCCAUCAUUCUCCCCUGGAGCAGCAGUGAGCUGGAAGCGCCAACCCUUUUUGAUUGGCUGUUGCGUAGCCAAAUAUUUUACCCACCACCUCACCUCGCCAAGCUUCCUGCCUGGAGAGCCACGUGGGGGUGACUACAGGAAGCUCUUUGACAUGGUAGGCAAACCCACCUUGGUGGGGGUCAAACACCUGCUGAGCGCUAGAGCUGGGGCCGUCCUGGCAGAGGUGCGAGAGGGUGCGUGCUGCGCCCUGGCAGGACAUGCGAAUGAUCCCGUGUUCCCUGAAAAGCAUCCAGUUGUCUGCUCCCGUCUCCCUUCCCAUCAGAAAGCGUCUCACUUUGUUCUCAUGGUGGGAAUGGAGCACAAGCCGAGGAGGGCGGUUGGCCCUUGCUGUGUGUGCAAGAGCCUUAAACCAUGCCCUAGCUGUUGGUAAAGACCAGGGGGGAGACCAGGGUGGUGGGUGCUCCCGGACUCGCGUUGCUUGACCGGGACAGGACGACCGGUGCAGCGUUUACAGUCUCAAGGCUCAGCUGUGUUCUUUAUGAGCAGGUGGUGUGACGUGACACCACCUGUUGUCAGUGUGAGACUUAGGAGUGAAGGGUGGAGCCUACCUGUCAAUCAGGUUGCAGCUUGAUGACCUCGUUUGGAGGCGCUAAGGUGAGAAAUAGCUCGUUGGUGGUGGGACACACGCUCAGUCCCUGGGAGACAUUCUUGUUGACAAGCCACGUGGAAAGAGGUUGAUGUAGCCAGA